UCGAAAAGGAAGCAGCCAGUCUGUUUCGGAUGUUUGGAGUUGUAAGACGUAAACGGAUAGUUUUUCUAAAUGUUAACCGGUGAGCAACUGUUUUGGUGUAUUCUAAUGUCAUUCAUUUGAAUAAGUCGUAGAAUUGAACUCUGUUUAUUCGCGAGUGCUCUUUCGCUAUAAUCACAGAAAACAUCGUUCAAAUUUCUAUUAUAUUAGAAAGCAAUAAUUUGGUUACUUUCCCGAGGUUCGCGAGAAGUGUGUCAAAGUCGAUGUAACGUGUUCUGUGCGUCCAUAAUCAACCGUAGCUCUAAGUGUCUUCGGACUUCGGAUAUGGUUUCUGUUUAAUAAAAAAUGCCGGUGCGGUAGUGAUCGUGGCCUCGAAGCGAGUCCUUUUACGGCGGGGACGAGCAUC